rnacentral:rRNA from 1 species
CGGGGGAAGCGGAUUGCGUUGGAUUGAUGGGCGCUUGUGUGUUCAGCCUUCGGGUGCAUUGGCACAAGUGCUUAUCCGCUGUGAGUUUUCGGGGGUCGAUUUUGGACCCCUGGGGACUGAGGGCUCCCUUUUUUAGGUGAGGACAGCGGAGUGACGACGCGAUACGACCCGUCUUGAAACACGGACCAAGGAGUCUAGCGCGGGUGCGAGUCGGAGGGUGCAAGCCCGUGGGCGAAGUGAAAGCGAGUUUUAAAAACGAGCAGUUUGGGGCGGCAUAAGAUCGUUGAUCUUAAGACCGACCCGGAGCAGUUGCGCUGGGACCCGAAAGAUGGUGAACUAUGCCGGAGUAGGGCAAAGCCAGAGGAAACUCUGGUGGAGGCUCGUAGCGGUGCUGACGUGCAAAUCGCUCGUCGAACUUGGGUAUAGGGGCGAAAGACUAAUCGAACCAUCUAGUAGCUGGUUCCCUCCGAAGUUUCUCUCAGGAUAGCGGGCCGACAAGUUGUUUUGUGCGGUAAAGCGAAUGAUUAGCGCAUUCGGGGGCGUUUAGCCUUUGGGCGAUUCUCAAACUUUCAAUG